UGUGAUGGACCCUGCUCUGUAGUGCACUUACAACAGGUGAACAGUAAACUAUGUUCAAUAAAA
rnacentral:sRNA from 12 species